rnacentral:rRNA from 1 species
GUGGCCACACCUGUUCCCAUACCGAACACAGAAGUUAAGCACUAUAACGGCGACGAUAGCUAGGCCAGCCCUAGUUAAAAUAGCAAGUUGCCAGGU